UACAGAGGUCCCAAGCGUUGUUCGGAUUCACUGGGCGUAAAGGGUGCGUAGGCGGUUUGACAAGUCUGAUGUGAAAUCCCGCAGCUUAACUGCGGAACUGCAUUGGAAACUGUUUGACUAGAGGAAUGGAGGGGAGACUGGAAUACUUGGUGUAGCAGUGAAAUGCGUAGAUAUCAAGUGGAACACCAGUGGCGAAGGCGAGUCUCUGGACAUUUCCUGACGCUGAGGCACGAAAGCCAGGGGAGCGAACGGG
rnacentral:rRNA from 1 species